rnacentral:tRNA from 1 species
GGCAACUUGGCCGAGCGGUCUAAGGCGCCAGACUCAAGCAUAAGCUUCAUCCGUCUCAGCGGAUGAGCAUUCUGGUCUCGCAAGAGGCGUGAGUUCGAAUCUCACAGUUGUCA